GUUUCCGGAGUGUAGUGGUUAUCACGUUCACUUUACACGCGAAAGGUCCCCAGUUCGAAACUGGGCGGAAACA